CGUUUAGUCAGAGCUUCAAUCCUAACCCUAACCCAGGGCUUACAUCCUCUGAUCUCCUCGCAGUGAGAGCAGGGAAACGCUGCGUUAGCUGUCAGCCCUGCAGAGCUUCUCCUCUGCUGUAUUUAGCUCUGGGUCACUUGGCUCAGGGAGAAGCUCUGUGGUUUAUCUGGGUGUUAGAGAGAAACAUGACCUGAGAGCAGCUAAUCUGGCCUUUACACCUCCUGACACCACAAAACACAAAUAGGACUUGGUUGUUUUUAGCUUGUUUGUUGGAACUUCAUUCUUAACACAUUGAUCAACUGACAGAUUGAUUGAUUGAUCAUGUGUGUCCAGGCCACCCUCUCGUCCAUGCAGUUGUCUCGCCUUCACUCCUCCACACGUGCUCCAGUGACAGCCAGGGUUUUGCUGCGCCGCUCCUCCUCCCGCCGCCUCCUUCCCUCGCCACAGGAAGCUGCCGUCCCCCAGCUGGAGCGAAGACCCUCGCUCAUACCCAGCAUCCCCGAAGCCGUGCCUCCUGAGAGGCGGGCCCAGUUCAGACGAGGAACGUCAUGUCGAUGAGUGAUGCGUACAGCAUGUGUCUGAUCUGCCAUAAUGACUUAAGCCAAGGAUCAGGAGGGACCAGAGAGCUGCAGUGUACACACACCUUCCACAAAGAGUGCAUAGAGGAGUGGCUGUGGAGGAAACAGUCCUGUCCAACCUGUCAUGUCCAGGUGUGCAUACCUCAGCCUCUCUACUGGAGCUCCACCAGGGUCAAGGUCCCCUGAGACCUCCCUGAGACCGGACUAUGUCUUCAAACAGCUCCUCUGAUUUUAUUACAGAGAUCUGAUCCCAUCCUGUGAAACUCGGUUACAGCUCAGCUGUGACGACAGACUUCAGGUCUGUGAGAGCGAUACAUGACUGUCUCUUCAUGCUCCGUUUAUUGGGCUGGAUAAGUUUUCACUGCAAGACCAACAAGUUCUCUACAGUUCAGCCGGCUGCCUUCAUAGCACAGCAAAACCACUGGAGCCCUGAUUUUACUCCAGAAAAUCAGCGUUAUCGCUGGUUUUUAAGAGAUUUACAGUGGAGAACCUCACGGAUCAAUCAAUGACUCAUAGCUGCUGAUGGUCAAACCAGCUUCAUCCAGGGGUUCCCAUUGGUCCAGGUUGGCGGAUCUUUGACGGCUGAAGAUCCAACACUAUCAAGAUCAACUCAGGACAAAACACAUUUAAACCUUUUAAACAGGCUGCAUUUCUCUGGCCAAGUAUUUACAAGGACUUUCUCUUUAUUGGGAAAAUAUCUUUAUUUACCAGUUAAUUUUGCACUCUGUUUUCUUCUACAUUGGCUAGAUUUGCUUACAGUUGGUAUGUUUUGCAUUUUGAGCUUAUUUCUAAAUAUUCUGAGAUGCUUGAUAAAUAAGAAAAAACUUUAUGAAAUAAAACUGAAGCUAUGGUUCUAAAACACAACAGAAUAAUAUUUAAGCUGAUUUACAACAACUUUAACCUCAUUGUAAUGCUUUUUUUUUUAAAGCUUUACGAAUGUUAUAAUGUUUUCCUUUUUUUGACUGAUUACAUAUGUACAAACAUGGGUGCCGGCUGAAUGUUGCUUUAACAAUGUAAAAAACAUCCAAGGGUAUAAAGCCGUAAGUUUACUUUAAUAAAAAAUAGCU